UCUCUGUGAUUAUCAUAAAUAAAUAAAAAUUAAAAAAAAAAAAAAAAAAAAAGAUCAUACAGGACAGCAGAAGCAACACCUGUCUGUCUAAGCGGAGACACUUCUGUAAAAGUCAAAACCAAAGCACCAGAACCGCAGGCGCCCCGGAUACGUCUGAAUCACCACGCCGGAAGAACAGCGCAGCCCGUCUGCUCAGAGAUACUGCCUGGGAGCUGCGGAUUGGAGGCCGCGGAGGUCCCGGCACAGGGGAGCCCCGGGGAGCGCGCCUGGCCCUGGACGGCCGGCUGCCUGCUUUCCCGGUGGCGCAGACGGUGGUGGUAUUCAGCAGUCAUUGUCCCCGACGGAGAGCAGCGUUUUCUUGUCAUGAAACAUCUCAUGGGUACAAAAGCACGUGUAGAGUUGCCUGUCCUGGCGGAACCAGUAGAUGCCACCCCCUGCCCAGCUUAGGAAGGACCCAGAAGUCCCUCUGCCCCCUAGACAACGGCUUCUCUGUGAUCGUCGGGAUCUACGGUCAGAUCGUGGGAGUCCCUCCCUGAGAAACACUAAAACGGAACUGACCGGUCCACCCUCUGAGGACCCACAGACUCGGGACCUGUGGCCGGGGGACCCGCCGGGGAUGGGCCAGGAGGAGCCCCCACAGACCCCGAGCAGGCCGGGCUGUUGCAGGGGCGCCUGUGGCCGGUGCGGUGACCAGCAGGAGCCCUGAGCGCUGACCGUGCCCCGAGGCUGCCCAGGGACCAGAGUGAAUGAGCCCGACUGGAACUGGGCCCCUGGGCCAGCAGGUCCACACGGCUUGGGGAUCUGGCCAGGACACGCAGGAACCCGGGACCCCCAAGAGAAGGGGAACAGACAGCAGAAGUCUCCAGAGGGACAGCCCCCUGCCGGGGACAGCAGCCCUCUCCACAGCAGCGGAAAGGCUUGGUCUGGACGAGCAACAAGGGCACCGGGCUGGUGGGCCUUCCCAGCUCCUCGCUUUGCGGUGGGGGGCGCACCAUGCCCCGGGUCAGAUGAACAGGCCAGCGACCAGAUCCGUGGGGGCACCAGGUAGGUGUCGGGUGGGGACGGUGGAGAAACACUGACCUUGACUCGGCACGUUCCUCCGCCAGCUCCAGGCUGCCCAGGACCGUAGGGACCGUGUGCGGGGCUCCGCAUAGACCCCGGCUCCCUGUCUUGGAGACUGCGGAGGUGAGUGCAGACGCCAGGCAGUGGGCAGGGGAUGGUGGUCUUCCUCCUGCCUUGGUUUCACUGUCCCCUAUGCCUUGGAUUACCCUAAGUGACCACGAUGAUCCUCAAACUAUUUGCAAAGUGAGCCUUGUGCAUCCAUGAAAUUUGGUCCUGACUUUCAGGGAGCUUGGGUUUGCCAGGAAGAGCAGUGCCGGCUGACCAGGAAGCUCAGGACUGGGGGUGUGGCCCCGCACGGUGGCUGCCAGCUGCCACCUCUGCCCUUGGAAAUCCUGCAGGAGCUCCUGUGAGCACCAGGAAGGUCAAAGGGCAAGGGGCUUCCCUGCCCUCCCUGGUCACUGCACGGUCACUCUCUGCAGCUUGUACUUCAGGAGCUGGGGUGGGGUCCCUUUAAAAUCCGUCGUCAAGUCUCCUCUUUCCAGAAACCUAGGGAGAACCGUGGCUACUAAGAGCAAGUUCAGGCAUCAUCAUGACUUGGGGGAGCCUCCUGCUGCUAAAAACGGGUCCGUCCCCUCCUCCGGGCCACCCCCGUGUGGUCCUGUAGGGAGGGAAGGGCUUGGAGACCUGCACCCUGUGGUCUGGGCCCUGCAAGCCUCAGCUGCCUGCGCCCAGGCCUCAGUGAGCCCGGAAAGCAGGCCCCGUGGGCUGUGCCGCCGCCGGACGCCUGCAGACAGAGAGCUGGGGACACCGGCAGUCGCUGCCCGUCCUGACUCCCGCCCCAGUUAAUGCGGCCUGUGGCAAAGCCCCAGCCGCAGGAGCCACCAGGCCUGGCCGCACCCCCAGCUGGGCAGGCGGUUCACCCACGCGGGCCCUCGCAGUCUCAGCACUUCACCCACGCGCUCCACGAUUUCCACAUGCAGGGAAAUCCCCAAUACAAGCCUGAACGUUUGCAUUUGGUCCGGACGGUAACAAACCUAGUCAGUGAAAGUCACUAGUGAGUUCACGUAACAGUCCUGGCGCCAGACUGUUUCCCUUCCUGGUUCCCGCCUCAGUCUCCUACUGGGACCCCAAACCACAGCCGGUUCUGAGUGUCCUGCUUGCGGGAGGAAGGGACGCGGGAGUCACGCCCAGAGCGAGCCUCAGAACACCUGCCCGCCUGCUUUGCACAAGGUGGGAAGCUCUACGCUGGCCCCUUUCGAGGACACUGAAGGAAACUGCUCCCUGCUUUCCAGAGAAGUGUGGUAGGGACAUGGUUUUAAAAACUCACUUUAAGGGGUGUCUGGGUGGCUCAGCGGUUUAGCGCCACCUUCAGCCCAGGGCGUGACCCUGGUCCAGGGAUGGAGCCGCACAUCGGGUCCCUGCAUGGAGCCUGCUUCUCCCUCUGCCUGUGUCUCCACCUCUCUCUGUCUCUCAUGAAUGAACAAAUAAAAUCUUUAACA
rnacentral:lncRNA from 1 species